GCUUGCUUGUUGGGGUUGUAGGACACUCUAUACGGAGUUACAAAGGACGACAUUAGACGAAUCAUCUGGAAAGAUGAAUCAAAGAAGGUAAUAAUCCUGUAGUCGAAAAUGUUGUCUCUCUUGAGUGGAUCCUGAGUACGACGGAGCACGUGAAAUUCCGUCGGAAUCUGGGAGGACCAUCUCCUAAGGCUAAAUACUCUCUAGUGACCGAUAGUGAACCAGUACCGUGAGGGAAAGGUGAAAAGCACCCCGGAAGGGGAGUGAAAUAGAACCUGAAACCGUGUGCUUACAAGUAGUCAGAGCCCGUUAAUGGGUGAUGGCGUGCCUUUUGUAGAAUGAACCGGCGAGUUACGAUUUGAUGCAAGGUUAAGCAGUAAAUGUGGAGCCGUAGCGAAAGCGAGUCUGAAUAGGGCGUUUAGUAUUUGGUCGUAGACCCGAAACCAGGUGAUCUACCCUUGGUCAGGUUGAAGUUCAGGUAACACUGAAUGGAGGACCGAACCGACUUACGUUGAAAAGUGAGCGGAUGAACUGAGGGUAGCGGAGAAAUUCCAAUCGAACCUGGAGAUAGCUGGUUCUCUCCGAAAUAGCUUUAGGGCUAGCCUCAAGUGAUGAUUAUUGGAGGUAGAGCACUGUUUGGACGAGGGGCCCCUCUCGGGUUACCGAAUUCAGACAAACUCCGAAUGCCAAUUAAUUUAACUUGGGAGUCAGAACAUGGGUGAUAAGGUCCGUGUUCGAAAGGGAAACAGCCCAGACCACCAGCUAAGGUCCCAAAAUAUAUGUUAAGUGGAAAAGGAUGUGGCGUUGCCCAGACAACUAGGAUGUUGGCUUAGAAGCAGCCAUCAUUUAAAGAGUGCGUAAUAGCUCACUAGUCGAGUGACACUGCGCCGAAAAUGUACCGGGGCUAAACAUAUUACCGAA
rnacentral:rRNA from 1 species